AGGAAUUCUCAUUCAUUCCCAGGCCCAAAUAAACGAAAGCUGACACUUCCUUCAAAAAGAAAAAAAAACUGAGCCCAGUGUAAUUUGGAAGUGAGAUUUUCUUCGCACACAUACAAACAUAAUCAAUGAAGUAAUAGUAUAUAUCUUCGGUCAGAAACAAAUACACUCUAAAAAGCUUAGAAAUACACAGUACCCCUACUUAGGUCCUACACGCUAUGCCCUAAUCUGCAUAAGCAGGAUAAGAACAAAAAGAGAGCGGGGCCAGGCCAUGCCAUUUGCAGAAGCUCUCACACACAUCCGAACAGAGCUGAUGCUCCAAGCAUCCAAACGCUCAGGUCCCCAGGGAUCUUCCAUUUGGCUCACUCCAGCAGCUGCCAGGUCGCCAUCGUGGCGCGAGCGACUAGCUCCAAAUCAGGGCGCUGAACAUCCUGCGAUACCUCCUGCCACUGCCAGGCAAGACAAGGCCUGCUAAGCUCCUGCCAGCCAAGGAGGCGAACUUAACAUUAGGAAAAUGAUCAGCAACAAAAAAUUAUGCUUACAUCUGAGCUGACGCAGCCAAGCCGAUGCGUACGACCGAGCUGAUGCACCAAGUGUCCUAGUCAUCCUCUGAUGUGGACACCUGCAAAAAAAAAAAAACAGCUCCUCGCAUUAAAAUUACCGGCAGAGGUUGCCCCUAGGCCAGCCGCUGUCAAGGAAGAGGGGUUUUAUUCGGCCGUCGCUUUCCCGGCGAAGAAGAUCUGGUUUCACAAUGUUGAAUCAGUUUGGGUUUGCAGGACAAAGACAGCCAUUAAUUAAGGGUGCACUCCAAACAUCAUUCAGGCACUUUCUACUGGUGGCACUGGCACUGAAACGGAUCGGUAAAUAAAUUAUUUCACCACCAUGGCGAGUGCAAUGAAAGCUCUGGGGAUUUUGUUACUGCGUAAUUCUCAAAUGUUUACUCAGUCUAUGUAUUAUUUAGACAGCUGCAUGUACUUGAGAGUAAAAAACAGAGAAAAACUUGAGAAGCAAUAGAACAAGAGGAUAGUGAACAAAGAAAAAGAUAGACAGGUUCCUUCAAACAGCUUUUGUGUUUGAAGUUGAAAUCUAAUGUUAAAAAUCCAGCAAAAACAAAAAAUCAUGGUGAGUUACUGACUCAAAUGGGAAAAGGUCAUCUGUGAAGGAGUGCACUUCGAAGGGUGAGCGAAUAGGAUAUGUAGCUCUUGUAGACAGUUCUGUUAUCCUACUCGUCUCUAGGUUGGCAUCGCACCUUGUUGACACAUUUAUCUGUGUCAUUUUCCUUUUUUUACCCAACUGUCAACCACAUCUAACUUUAUGGUUGCUCUUGUGAAUGGACUUACCUGCGAACUAACAAGACAAUGACACUAUAAAAGCAGAAGUUCACUCAGCAGCUAGAGCAAUAGACACACGGCGCUAGUUAAUUACCUGGUAGGCAUAGCAUGGGAGAAACAAAUAAUGCAAGAGCUGAUGGUGGAGUCAAGGGUGGAGAAGAGGAAGAGAAAGGCAGGAAGAAGAUGACCAAGGGUGGUAAGGCGUCGUUCCAUGACCUGUUCAAGAACGCGGACGCCACUGAUGUGGUGCUGAUGCUGGUUGGCACAGUCGCCGCGCUUGCGAGCGGCAUGUCACAGGUGGUCAUGUCGAUCAUCUUCGGGCGGAUGGUAGAUGCCUUUGGAGGUGCCACCCGGGGCACCAUCCUUCCCCGAGUUGACAAGGUACCCUUUUGCUUCUGUAUGAAU
rnacentral:lncRNA from 1 species